CCUCCCCAAAACAGACCGCGCAUGCGUCACCCUCCCGGCCGCACGGCGCCGACGGCGUCAAGGAACAUUGUGUCGCUAAGCAAAAGGAUAACUCACACGACUCUCGGCAACGGAUAUCUCGGCUCUCGCAUCGAUGAAGAACGUAGCGAAAUGCGAUACCUAGUGUGAAUUGCAUAAUCCCUCGAACCAUCGAGUCUUUGAACACAAGUUGCGCCCGAGGCCACCAGGCCGAGGGCACGCCUCCCUGGGCGUCACGCCAAAAGACGCUCCCCACCCCCCCUCGGCGGGGCGGAGGACGCUGCGUUUGGCCCCCCGUCGGCAAGGUGGGCGAUCUCACACUCUUUUCGACACAGUGCCCCGGCACGUAGCCGGCGCAGCGGCCCCACGGACCCAAGGACCGGAGAGCACAUCGCUCGGACCGUGACCCUAGGUCAGGCGGGACUACCCGCUGAGUUUAAGCAUAUAAAUAAGCGGAGGAGAAGAAACUUACGAGGAUUCCCCUAGUAACGGCGAGUGAACCGGGAGCAGCCCAGCUUGAGAAUC
rnacentral:rRNA from 1 species